UUGCCCAUUUUGGCACUAGCACAUUUUUGCUUCUGUAUAUAUCUGUUUGAGCAAUCAUGUGUAGUGCCAAUAUAGGAGG
rfam:Salmo salar isolate Sally breed double haploid chromosome ssa10, whole genome shotgun sequence.